rnacentral:lncRNA from 1 species
UUGAUCAAAAAGAUCAUCAAUCCUAGGUAGUGGGUAUCGAUUCUUAAUUGUAACUUUAUUCAACUCUCUAUAAUCGAUACACAUUCUCAUCGAUCCAUCUUUCUUUUUCACAAACAACACUGGUGCGCCCCAAGGGGAUGAACUAGGUUGUGCUAAUCUAUAAGGUGCUUUAGCUAUUGGUGCAGUACCCGGAAUUAAAUGAAUUCUAAACUCUACUUCUCUAUCAGGUGUUCCUUAUCUUUAGUGUUAAUGAUUACGGAAAUCAUAUACACCAUUUCUUGCUUUCUCGAAUAA